UACAGGGGGUGCAAACGUUGCUCGGAAUUAUUGGGCGUAAAGCGCGCGUAGGCGGCUACUUAAGUCGGAUGUGAAAGCCCUUGGCUCAACUGAGGAAGUGCACCCGAAACUGAGUGGCUUGAGUACUAAAGAGGGUCGCGGAAUUCCCGGUGUAGAGGUGAAAUUCGUAGAUAUCGGGAGGAACACCGGUGGCGAAGGCGGCAUCCUGGACCGGCAUUGACGCUGAGGAGCGAAAGCCAGGGGAGCAAACGGG
rnacentral:rRNA from 1 species